UAGCUGGGAAACGUGGUGUCUGGUUCGGCGACCGUCGCGGUUCAGUCGGGUCAGCGCCUACCUCAACUGCGGCAAGAUGCAGAAGGGGAGCCACCAGGAGGACACACUCAAGCUCGUCAAGGCUGCUUGCUGCUUCCCACAACCUAGAGCAAGGAGUUUCAAUUGGUGACUGGGUACAGGGCAUUUGAGCUGAAGGACUGCAUUACUAGCGAGGGUAUUUCAUUUCUAGGUGACCAAGGAGCAAACUUAUUUAUGGGAGUUGGAUUUAGCGAGCUACAACAAGAGGAGAAAGGUGUAAUAAUAUUGUCACUUGGCGACCUAGAUGAUGCACCUAUCGAGAUCUUCUUCAGAGAUAUCAUGGAGUAUCAUGGAACCAACAUUAGUUGUUGUUUGUCAAAGGGCAGUUCAUUGAUGGUGAGUGGGCUGAGGAAUAACAUAAGCCAAAAAUGACGAUGACCAAUAGCUUCAGGCAUGUUGCCUUCCUCUUCGAGGAUGAUUCCUUCCUCUUCAGGUGGAGAGAAGUUGAGGUCUGGAAGAACCAUGGUAAUCUGUUGGGUGGGUGCUGGGCGCGCGUGGACCUGGAGCUGCCGGCGAGCUGGGCAGCGCAACCAGAUGGUCGGUGGAGGAGGCAGAGCAUGAGGAGGUAGUGCGCGCUCUGAUCCUUGGUCGGUGGAGGAGGCAGCGCAUGAGGAGGUAGUGCGCGCUCUGAUCCACCUCUGGCCCCGACGUCUCCUGGCGAAGCCUUGGACGAGGGGCGACGAGCUUCUACCUAAGGGGCCGGCGGCCGGCUUCCGGGAUCGAUCGGACCUGGGACUCGUUGGGCGGAGGAAAAGUAGCUGGAGGCCCGAGGUGGAGUCGCUGGGCGGAGGAGAAGGCCGGAGGUGGAGCUUCUGAUGGUUGCUCGGGCGGAGGAGAAGCGGCUCCUAGGCGAGGGAUCAUCGUCGAGAUGCGGGUCGGACGAGGACCUGGGCAAGGAAGAGAUCGCGCAGAUCGCGAUCUGAUUGUAAUUUCCA